ACCUGGUGUUCAUCAGUUCAGACCUUGUUGACAAGCUGUCCGAGUGUGAAAUUAGUGACGGAGUUUCAGAUCACAAGGCAGUGUUUGUAUCGCUAAACUGCACAGUCUGUAAACCGCGUGCCGAAAUUCAAACUUUUUUCGACUUUAAUCGCUCUGACGACACGUCUAUUCUUGAUGUUUUAUCAGAACGUUUCGAAUCGUUUUGCAACUCAGUAAAGAUUGUGACGUGAAUACACUAGUUCGCCAAUUUGAAAACAUUACAAAGCUGUGUAUUCAACGCAUUGUUCCAUUAAAAAGUAAGAAAAAGAUCGUGCCAUCCGUUGGAUGACUAGAGAAAUUUUGCAUCAUGCCACGUUAGAAGACUGAGACGCUCAAAACGCAGUAAUGAUCCAGAUGCAAUUGCUAGAUUCACCUCUGCGAAAGAGGAACUAAAUUUGAGAAUGAAUAUUGCCAAAGAUUUCUUUCAUGUCGAGCGGCCCGGAUUUCGAAGAAAUAAUGCUUGGAAGUUCUGGCGUUCUGUCAUGCCUACUACUGAUUCUUCAUCUUCAUUGACUAUCAAUGAUGAAAUUGUAAACGAUCCUGCAUGCAUGUCCAAUGCAUUCAAUGAAAGUAUUUCCAUUCGGUAUACGCAAACAAUUGUCAUGUCUAUCCUGCUUUUGAUAAUGAUUCAGAUUUUUCUAUUUCCGACAUUUCAGUUGAUGUUAAUGGCGUUCUUAAUUUGAUUUUAAAUUUACACGCAAAAAAGUCUAGUGGCUCAGAUGGUAUUCCGAGUUCGUUUUUACUUUGCUAUUCACAAUGGACAUCACGCUUGAAAUUAUAUUUAGUGUCUCUAGAAACAGGAAUCGUUCCUUCUUCAUGGAAGUAAUACCCUUGUAUAAUAUAGGUAGCAAGACAGACGUAACCAGUUACAGAUCAAACUCUUUAACUUCCCAAUCGUGCGAAAUUCUUGAACAUAAUAUUUACAAACACAUUAUAAAUUUGCUUAAGUCGAACAACAUUCUAACUAAUGUUCAGCGUGGAUUUAGGCGUGGUUUCAGUACUAUCACGCAGUCAAGCGACUUCACCCAUGACAUUGCUUAUCAAUUGGAUCUCGGUAAACAGAUUGACGUUAUCUUCGUAGAUUUUUCUAAAGCGUUCGAUUCAUUACUUCAUUUUCAUCUCAUGAAAAAAUUAAAUGCGAUACUAAAAAUUUCCGUCUGGUCGAUUGGAUUGCAUGUUUCCGUCGACUUUAGUUCUGCAAGGACAUCCAUACUUGAAGUUGGCUCCGGGGUUCCUCAAGAUUCCGUCCUGGGUCCUUCAUUGUUCUUAAUUUAUGUCGGUGAUCUCCCAAAAAAUGUUUCCUCCGGCAUUCGUCUUUAUGCUGACGAGUGCGUCUUAUACGACGUGAUUGACUCUGCGACUAGUUAUAAGCGACUGAACGAUUCCCUUGUCUGUUUCAGUACUUUGCGCGAAAAGGGGCAAAUGAACAAUAAUUAAAAAAAGAACGGUUGUUUUGUCAUUCAUGAAAAGAGCAGCAUCUGAAAUUGCGACAUAUUCCUUGAAUGGAUCACCUUUAACUAGAGUUCGACAAUACAAAUAAUUAUCAUCAUCAGCCUGGUUACGCCCAUUGCAGGGCAAAGACCUCUCCCAUACUUCACCAACUGCCCCGGUCAUGUACUAAUUGUGGCCAUGUUGUCCCCGCAAACUUCUUAAUCUCAUCCGCCCACCUAACUUUCUGCCGUCCUCUGCUACGCAUCCCUUCCCUUGGAAUCCAGUCCGUAACCCUUAAUGACCAUAGGUUAUCUUCCCUCCUCAUUACAUGUCCUGCCCAUGCCCAUUUCUUUUUCUUUAUUUCAACUAAGAUGUCAUUAACUCGCAUUUGUUCCCUCCUCCAGUCUCUUUUCUUAUCCCUUAAGAUUACACCCAUAAUUUUUCUUUCCAUAGCUCGUUGCGUCGUCCUCAAUUUAAGUAGAACCCUUUUCGUAAGCCUCCAGAUUUUUGCCCCGUACGUGAGUACUGGUAGGGCACAGCUGUUAUAUUCUUUUGAGGGAUAAUGGCAACCUGCUGUUCAUGAUCUGAGAACCCCAGCCCAUUCUUAUUCUUCUGAUUAUUUCAGUCUCAUGAUCCGGAUCCGUAGUCACUACCUGUCCUAAGCAGAUGUAUUCGCUUAUCACUUCCAGUGCCUCGCUACCUAUCGUAAACUGCUGUUCUCUUCCGAGACUGUUAAACAUUACUUUAGUUUUCUGCAGAUUAAUUUUUGGACCCACCCUUCUGCUUUGCCUCUCCAGGUCAGUGAGCAUGCAUUGCAAUUGGUCCCCUGAGUUACUAAGCAAGGCAAUAUCAUCAGUGAAUCGCAAAUUAUUAAAGUAUUCUCCAUUAACUCCUAUCCUGAAUUCUUCCCAAUACAGCUCUCUGAAUACCUCCAGUAAACGCGCUGUGAAUAGCAUUGGAGAAAUCGUAUCUCCCUGCCUGACGCCUUUUUUUAUUCGGAUUUCGUUCCUUUCUUUAUGGAGGGAUCCGGCGGCUGUGGAUCAGCUAUACAUAUCUUUCAGUAUUUUGACGUACGGCUCGUCUACACCCUGAUUCCGUAAUGCCUCCAUGACUGCUGAGGUUUCGACUGAAUCAAACGCUUUCUCGUAAUCAACGAAAGUUAUAUAUAAGGGUUGGUUAUAUUCCGCACAUUUCUCUAUCACCUGAUUUAUAGUGUGAAUAUGGUCUAUUGUUGAGUAGCCUUUACGGAAUCCUGCCUGGUCCUUUGGUUGACAGAAGUCGACGGUGUUCCUGAUUCUAUUUGCGAUUACCUUAGUAAAUACUGACACGUGAACUCGUUUAUCUUUUACGGGUGAGCGCUUUUAAGGUCUAAGAAAUGUUAUCGCUCAGCGCAGGAUGCGUCUACAUGUGUCGGAAGUUUAUAGCAUGUUGUCGAUGCUUCUAUCCGCUGUCUCUUGUCGCCGAACCUUGCGUAAUCUGAUUGCAUGUAUGCGCAACGCGAAUGGGGUAGAACUUUGUGGAAGGCACGCGGGUCCCAGCGGAACAUUCGACGACUGAUCUGUCAAAAUCGACGCGCCUGACCUGCUGAUCAGAUUUUGACGAUCGCCGACUGUGUUCGCCGUUGUCGCCAUUCUUUAAGUGUAGCCUGUUUUUGUGGGCACGGGUUCGCCCAAUAAAAGUUAGUUUCGUCUUUCACAGUAUUGUUACUGUGUUCUUCAUGCGUCACUCCACGAGAGAUCUGGUGGAGGUACUUUUCGUUCAUGUACCGGACACCCCCGACAAGCCGUGAUCCAAGCCCGGACUGCAAAGAGAACACCAACGUAGUCCCGGACCAUCGAGCAAGCCGCCGUCUUCAACAGCUGCCCCCGGAGCACGGACUUCUACCUGAGAAGACCAAAAAGAUUGCAGCGAAGGCAACCACAAUGGCAGCCCUAGUGUCUAGUCUGAUAGAGCUAGUCUUGAGCUCUAUCACAAGUUCUUUUUCAGUACCCUUCCUCAUGCGCCAUACAUCAUUCCUGCUGCCCGCAUCUCUCACCGCACCAGUCAUCCGCAGCAAGUCGCACGCCCGCUUGCCCGAACCACUCAUUUUCCCGCCUCGUUCAUUCCUCGAGCAGCUAAAGACUGGAACGGCCUUCCUGCUGACAUUGUUAGCAUCAGUUGCCUGUCUUUAUUCCUACAGUGUGUGAUUGAUCACUUUGAAUAUAACUAAUGAAGUGUACCAAAUGUGGAACUUAUGCUAAACCCACCCCUUAUGUAAUACCCCAUCUGGGGGUCUUUAAGGACAAUAAACUGAACUGAACUUAACCCAUCGUAUUUGAACAGCCCAGAGAAACCCCUACUUUUCGUGGAGCUACGUCGGAGGAUCCGGAAGCCUGGCUCGAAACCUUCGAAAGGAUCUCGACUUUCAACAACUGGACCUCUGGGGAUAAGCUACAACAUGUGUACUUCUCCUUGGAAGAUGCCGCGAGGACUUGGUUCGAGAACCGGGAGUCCACCAUUAGAACAUGGGGCCUGUUGCGGAGUAACUUCCUGAAGACGUUCACGAGCGUUGUUCGUAAAGAAAGAGCCGAAGUUCUGCUGGAAACCCGAGGCCAACUACCCAAUCAGACCAUCGCCAUCUUCACGGAAGAGAUGACCCGUCUUUUCCUGCACGCUGACCCGGAAAUGUCCGAAGAGAAAAAAGUGCGUUUCUUGAUGCGGGUCGUAAAGCAAGAACUUUUCGCCGGACUGAUCCGAAACCCACCGAAGACCGUAGCCGACUUUUUUUUAGGCUUGUGCGCUCAGAAAGAGCAGAAAAGGAAGGAGCUAGGUAGGGGUAAUGAAAGGGAACGGAAAACAGAGUGAGCGCUAACUUCCAACUGAUGGUUUAUUUCGUGACACAGAAGGCUACUUAUACACUCGGCAAACCAUGUGACAUGAAGAGACUACAAAAAAAAAGAACAAGCAACAAAACCGAUAGUAAUCAUGUGGCAACAUAUUCAGACAGCCUGUGGCUGCAGUCGGGGAUACACCAAUUCAUUGCUUGAUAAUGAUAAUAAAGGUGAGCCGGGGGGUUUCUUGCGCAGCACUGCAAAACGUGUGGUUGCGAACCUGUCUAGAGGAAUGUGUCAUUCUAGGUCGUAGUCGUAAUCAGCUCACAAGAGAAAUCAUCGAAGCAAAGGCUAUCAUUCGUCUGGGCCAUGCAUGUGUAAGCUCACCUUCAUUAUUAUCAAGCAAUGAAUCAAGCAAUGGAGGUAAACAAGAGAGGAGAGCUGGCCCGAGAGGCGGAGCAGCGCCAUGAGUAACGCCAACUUCCGGCUUCACUUUAACUUCACAAAAAGUGAGAUCAGGGUCUCUCCUGAGUUUCCUUCCUCCAUGGCUUCGACGAUACAAAGACUGCUUUUCGACGUCAUCAAGAAUUCUACAAACACCAGUCGCAAAGCAUCGCAUAGUAACCGAAGAGUGCGCUCAAGCACUUCGCCAGAGCCCUUACCGAGUUUCGACGCGAGAACGCGAAGCAAUAGACGAGGCAACCUAAGUUUGCCUGCGCGGCACCAGCGCCGAGUGCUCCCCUAGCGGACCGAGGGAAGUUUCGAAAGUCGUCCCUGCGCUAGUGCGCGCCCGUGUCCUGUACGGCGGGAGCGUUCGUGUGCGUUGUUUUUGCGAUGGCGAGUGCGACCUCAUCAGCUACGAAAGGUACCACGCAAUACUGCGGUGUUGUUAAUUGCCACAUCAACCUCGAAAACACGAAAGGUUGAACGCCGCCCGUGAAGUUCUACAGAUUUCCGGGGGAGUGGUACGAGGACAGACGACAAGCAUGGAUAACUGCAGUGCGCCGAGUCAAGUAAGUCUCAUACUUUCGCAUUCGCGUGCAAUAUCACGGCCGCUCGAUGAAAACGGAAUAAUGAUGUGCCUGUUUUUAGCGCACGGCCGUUUGUUUAGUCGUGUCGCGUAGUUGAAUUGUGGUGACAUCCGCUGUUUGUCAGCGGUAAAUGCUUGCGUGUUGCGCCGCUAAGCUCGACGACGCGAGCUCGAUUCCCGGUGACGGCGGCGCAUUCCGAUAGGGGCGAAAUUCAAGAACACCAUUGUUACCGUAUGCUUUGAUUUUUGUGCACGUUAAAGAACCCCCGGAAGGUAAAAUUAUUCCUGAGACUCCCCAUUACAGCAUGCCUCAUAAUGAUUUCGUGGUUUUGGCAUGGUUUCGGCACUUAAAACCCCCGAAUUUAUUUGAUUGCAGUGUGCCUUCCCUCGCUAUCGGCGUGGACGAGCUCAAGAAAAUUAUUUCCCUUUUCCAAACGCUGCAACUUAAAUUACUAGUCGUGUAGGUAACGAAUGGGGCCGCGCGCUACUUUUGUGUGGUAGCAGACCGUAUUUAAAGCAAGCCGCGGUCGUCGCGUGCGUCGGUAAUCGGCAGAUCAGAAAGCAGCCGCUCUACACAUGCGCGUUAUGCUUGUUGUUUGGCCAUGCUUUCUAAGUUCACAAUAUCCAAGCAUGCUUUAAGGUAAUUACCAUCUUCCACAGUCUCCCUGAUUCACUCUUCCUGUCAAAAAUCUUCGUUUCCUGUAGUAGCCGGCCAUCGGAGCGAGCUUACUUUAGCUGCUCGCUCGACGAGGAGCUUGUUUCGCUUUGGUGAGGCAUGUAUCUCUAAUGCUUGCGCUCGUGUUGCUGAUUCCAAGUUAAUCCCUGGUUAACGUGGGCUCUGUUCAUUUCGCGGCGCAGUCUGCACGAGCCAUUUCCCAUGAGCAGUGAAAAGAUACCUUGCUGACUAAAGCAAUUAGUUGCAAUGACUCCAACAUCUGCAUUGAAUAAGGCGUGAUAUAGAUUAAAUAUUUAUUGCAGCAUGAUAUAAGGCAAUAUGCGCCUAUGUUGUACUUAAAUUGUUAAUUUUGAGCAGAUGUGUGUUUUGGCUGUUGUGCUCUAGGAUUUUGUGUACUCUGGGAAGGAAACUGCUUUAGUGUUCUGGUGAAGCAGCGCACUGACCAGGACAAGGCGGACACACACAAGAAUACAUGACUCUCGCUGUGCUUGUAACACUCGAUUUGUACUGGUCAGUGCGCCGCUUCAUCAACACAGUAUGAUUAUUAAUCACCAACUCGCCCAACUUUCCACGUUACUGCGUUAGCUUUAUAAUAAUGCAGUUCUCUUCGUGCCAUGCAGUGAUGUUAUGUGACAAUAGACAGCACAAGUUACAGGCAUCUCCGAAUUGCCAUAUAUUAAAAGCGUGUACAGUUUGCCAAAAACAUCUUAAUUUGUGAUUUGCCUGAACCUAAGGCUGAGAGGGUAUAAGGAGCUAUAAGCUUGGCCACGUUGCUGAAGAUGGGAAGAGGUUCUUUCUCGUUAGUAUAGUGCCAUGCUUAUUGGUGCCUAAUGCAUGUGUUCUUUCUGUGCUCGCAGUGCUGAUGACACUCCCUGGGAGCCAUCAAAAAGCAUGCGAAUUCGCAGCACCCAUUUCAUUGGCAACUGAAAGAGUGACCUAAGCCAGCAUCCAUCAUACAUCCCUACCAUUUUCCCACCUGUAUACUGAAAGAAAGCACCAGAUCGAGAGAGGGCGAAAAGAUGGGAGCGGCGCCUAAUAGACCAAUGGCAGUCACAGCAGUCUUCUCAGCAGUUAGCACCACCGGGAUGUGCUUUCGUACUGUAGCAACACAGCUCUUGAGCAGCAGCAAGACACAUGUGAAAGAGACUCCAGAACAUGCCUCUCCGAAGUGACAGAACUGUCAACAAGCAGCCCACUGGAUCUCCAGUAAUCGAGUAGUAUGACAACAGAAGUUCCUGCUGCCAGAGUGACUUAUGUGGUAAUUGAAAUAAAAGUGGCUAAAUUUCUGAA